ACGCUGGCGGCAGGCCUAACACAUGCAAGUCGAGCGGUAGAGAGAAGCUUGCUUCUCUUGAGAGCGGCGGACGGGUGAGUAAUGCCUAGGAAUCUGCCUGGUAGUGGGGGAUAACGUUCGGAAACGGACGCUAAUACCGCAUACGUCCUACGGGAGAAAGCAGGGGACCCUCGGGCCUUGCGCUAUCAGAUGAGCCUAGGUCGGAUUAGCUAGUUGGUGGGGUAAUGGCUCACCAAGGCGACGAUCCGUAACUGGUCUGAGAGGAUGAUCAGUCACACUGGAACUGAGACACGGUCCAGACUCCUACGGGAGGCAGCAGUGGGGAAUAUUGGACAAUGGGCGAAAGCCUGAUCCAGCCAUGCCGCGUGUGUGAAGAAGGUCUUCGGAUUGUAAAGCACUUUAAGUUGGGAGGAAGGGCCAUUACCUAAUACGUGAUGGUUUUGACGUUACCGACAGAAUAAGCACCGGCUAACUCUGUGCCAGCAGCCGCGGUAAUACAGAGGGUGCAAGCGUUAAUCGGAAUUACUGGGCGUAAAGCGCGCGUAGGUGGUUUGUUAAGUUGGAUGUGAAAUCCCCGGGCUCAACCUGGGAACUGCAUUCAAACUGACUGACUAGAGUAUGGUAGAGGGUGGUGGAAUUUCCUGUGUAGCGGUGGAAAUGC
rnacentral:rRNA from 1 species